GACGAACGCUGGCGGCGUGCUUAACACAUGCAAGUCGAACGGAAAGGCCCUGCUUUUGUGGGGUGCUCGAGUGGCGAACGGGUGAGUAACACGUGAGUAACCUGCCCUUGACUUUGGGAUAACUUCAGGAAACUGGGGCUAAUACCUGAUAGGAGCUCCUGCUGCAUGGUGGUGGUUGGAACGUUUCGGCGGUUGGGGAUGGACUCGCGGCUUAUCAGCUUGUUUGUGGGGUAGUGGCUUACCAAGGCUUUGACGGGUAGCCGACCUGAGAGGGUGACCGGCCACAUUGGGACUGAGAUACGGACCAGAAUCCAACGGGAGGAAGCAGUGGGGAAUAUUGCAAAAUGGGCGGAAGCCUGAUGCAGCAACGCCGCGUGCGGGAUGACGGCCUUCGGGUUGUAAACCGCUUUCGCCUGUGACGAAGCGUGAGUGACGGUAAUGGGUAAAGAAGCACCGGCUAACUACGUG
rnacentral:rRNA from 1 species